UAUUAGUUCCUAUUAUUCUCAAUUCUAAAAAUCUUUUUUUCUUCUUCUUUGUUGAACACUUCCAUGAGCCUCUCUUACUUUUCAUCCCCAAAAUUUUGAGCAUCUUUUUUUUUUAAGAAAAGAGACUCUUUGUCUCUCAAAUCUCGCAUCAAUAGGCAAUAUCCAUCAAGUUGAAUAUUAAAUGAAGAGAUUUUUCUCCCCUAUAUCCUCCAAGUUGCUACAACCAAUGCAAGUUCAUCGCUUAAAAUGUUCUUCGGGUGGAAGAAAACUUGAACCAAUUAGAAGAAACUCAUCAUUCUGCUAAAAUAUCGAAACAAGAAGUAGAUUUGGAUUCUUUACCGGCAGAUCCAAAGAAAAGAAUAUCCAGUCAAAACUAUCAUGCGGAUGAACAUGAUGAGAUUAGACGGACAUAUAUCCAAAGAGGUCCUCAUCAACCUCGAAUUCACGAUUUUCCUUAAAACGAUAUUUAUGGAUUAAAACGUAUUUUUAAUUGCAAAUGAUUUAAAAAGCUAUCAUGAUUGCUUGGAGUAUAGUGUGACUGAAGAUGCAACUUAUUAUUUCAAGAUGAAAGCAUUCAUCAAGGUGAAGGUGAAGUAUUUUCAAGUAUAGGGUUCAGGAGUUGGCACAAAAAGAAAAGAUUAGAUACACAUAUUGGCAAGUCAAAGAGUGCUCACAAUCCAGCAAAGAAGAAGUGUGAAGAUCUAAUGCGACAAGAACAAUCAAUUCAAGCCGCAUUUGUUAAGCUAUCCAAUCAAAUCAAGCUUGAGCACAAAAUUCGCUGGAAGGCUUCAAAUGAAGUGGUGAGACUUCUCUUGAAUCAAGGAUUGACAUUUCGUAGACAUCGUGAAGAUAAAUUAUCACUAAAUAAAGGCAACGUUUCUUGAAAUUCUUUCAUAGUAUGCGAAGCGGUAUAAUAAAAUUGGUGAACUUGUGUUGAAAAAGGCUCCAAAAAAUGAGCAGAUGACUUCUAAUAACAUUCAAAAAGAUAUUGCAUGUAAGCUUGAAACAAUGAAAGUUAUUAUGGAGGAUCUAAACGGUGACCAUUUUUCAUUGUUAGUUAUGAAUCUUGUGAUAUAUCAAGUAUGGAGCAAAUGACAAUUGUUUUGCGCUAUACUGAUAGAAAGGGGUCUGUGGUGAAAUGGUUCAUAUGAAUUAUUCAUGUUCAUGAUACUAGUGCUUUAUGUAUGAAAGAAGUUAUUGUUAACUAUCUUGUGCAA